GACAAUGGGGGGAACCCUGAUCCAGCCAUGCCGCGUGUGUGAAGAAGGCCUUUUGGUUGUAAAGCACUUUAAGCGAGGAGGAGGCUACCGAGACUAAUACUCUUGGAUAGUGGACGUUACUCGCAGAAUAAGCACCGGCUAACUCUGUGCCAGCAGCCGCGGUAAUACAGAGGGUGCGAGCGUUAAUCGGAUUUACUGGGCGUAAAGCGUGCGUAGGCGGCUUUUUAAGUCGGAUGUGAAAUCCCUGAGCUUAACUUAGGAAUUGCAUUCGAUACUGGGAGGCUAGAGUAUGGGAGAGGAUGGUAGAAUUCCAGGUGUAGCGGUGAAAUGCGUAGAGAUCUGGAGGAAUACCGAUGGCGAAGGCAGCCAUCUGGCCUAAUACUGACGCUGAGGUACGAAAGCAUGGGGAGCAAACAGGAUUAGAUACCCUGGUAGUCCAUGCCGUAAACGAUGUCUACUAGCCGUUGGGGCCUUUGAGGCUUUAGUGGCGCAGCUAACGCGAUAAGUAGACCGCCUGGGGAG
rnacentral:rRNA from 1 species